UACGUAGGUGGCAAGCGUUGUCCGGAUUUAUUGGGUUUAAAGGGUGCGUAGGCGGCCGCCUAAGUCAGUUGUGAAAUACCCCGGCUCAACCGGGGGGGGUGCGAUUGAUACUGGGCGGCUCGAGUAACAGCGAGGUUGGCGGAAUUGACGGUGUAGCGGUGAAAUGCAUAGAUAUCGUCAAGAACACCGAUAGCGAAGGCAGCCAACUAGGGGUUAACUGACGCUGAGGCACGAAAGUGCGGGGAUCAAACAGG
rnacentral:rRNA from 1 species